GCCGCUUUCCAGUCCUCACGGAAGUUCGUCUGCACUCUGCAGUCUGCUGCCAAAAAUGGCCGUCGUUGGUUAAGGCUGAUUGGUUUUUCUUGGUUUUCACUUUUCCGGUUCCUGACGUUUUCCCUGAAUCUGGAAAAACCAAACCUUUGUCGCACACAGGCUAAACCCAUAAUGUGGGUGAUAGAGACUCAACGAAGAAAGUUCAGAAGAUCUUGGUGCAAAGUCUGCAUGGUGGUUCCCUCAUUCCUCAACAACUUAUGACAGUGUCACCCAAGAAUAGCUCAGGGGCAUGCAGAUGCUGGCUUGUAGCAACUAGCAAGCAGAAAGCAGUAACGGGUGCAACUGCUACAGUUUUCACUGUGGUUGUUAGUCUGCAACUGUCACCUCCAUCUGCUACUCUUAGUGUUGCUGUUACCGCUACACUUACACCGACCCGAGGACGCUGGGCACUCGCGACUGCGAGGAAUGCAUAAGCUUGUCACAUCCACUUGUCUAGUACUUUGGCUGAAUAUGAAACUGCUAAUAAUAAUUGUUUCUUUUAUUUGUUAAGGCACAUGACUGAAACCAUUUUGUGUGUUUAAAUUAAGUGAUG